UUUUCGGUUCGUUUGAGAUGAAACGUGAUGGUCAAAAGAGAAUGAUUUUUUUCGUUGGUAUUAAAUUUUGAUUCGAGAUGAAUGAUUUAUUCAAAAAAAUUUAGUGACGUAUCGAGAAUUUUUGAAUAAUUCGAAGGUUUAUAUAAUAAUAUUUUAAAGUAUUUAAAGAAAAACAGAAAUAAAGAAAAGAUUCGUGUCCAGAUGGAGAUAUACACGUUAUAUUUUAUAUUUUAUAUUUUAUAUAUAUUCACAAGAUCCAGUUCCUGGCCAUAAAAUGUAAAUAAUUGGAGGGCGAUCGAUAAUCUAUUUCAUGCAUGAUAAAAUAAUCGAUUUGUAAAAUUGGAUUAACAGGACACGCCACGACGAGUUUCGAGUAAAAAUUAAUAAACAGAUUGUUGACCGCGAUAAACGGCUUUUGCACGUCCACGCCGUGCGAUUCAAUUCAGUUUUCUAGAAAAUACAGUAUAAAAAUAUAUAUAAAUUCUAUCAGGGAAAAGCAUCGAGAUUUGGCUGAAACUAAAGAUGACAAAAAGAAGGUCAAUGACUAGGGAAUUUUUUGCCAGAAUCAAGGCGGUCUAAUUGAACGAAUCUUGGAAGGUGUGCAGUCCUAACGAUAAAAGAAAAUAACUUGGGAAGUAUUUAUGCAAAUACGCGCCUUUGCAUGGUGCAUGCAAAUCAACUUUAUCGAAGGUGGCACGACACGAAGGUGGUUCACCCUUUCGCGGAAGAAACGUCUCUCCCCCGGAUUGGCCGCGUUUGGCGGGAGCGGAAACGCGAUUACCUUAAAGCUGGAGGCCCUUCCUCGUGCAACGUGUAGAAAACGGAAUCGAAUAUCCAGCUUGAUUCUCAUCGAGACCUAAUUAUCGAUCGGUGGAAAGGCUCCCUCGUGAGCACAAUUUACGUAUUGAUUUACGUAUGCGUCGUAUCCUCUGUGUGCAAAGGGAUUCCUCGUACAUUGACUCACGGGCUGGCAGCCGUGCUAAAUGCAGUUGCAACUCUGCCCCUGGCUCUGUUCCAGCUCUGUACAACUGUAUUCCGCCUCGAUGGAUUCGGUAAUCGAGGUCAGUGUACCCCUUCAUCUCGCCUCGCUAUCUAUUUGCAGAGUGAUUUAAAUGCGCGACCCCUUCGCCGAACUUUGGCCCCCAACUUUGACCGGAAACAAUGCUCGAAUAUUUCCCAUGGAAGAACACUUUUUCCCUUUAAUCUUUUGUUAUUUAUAAUUCGAGGGAAAAGGCGAAGGGGAAAAAGAUAGGAUGGAUUUUGCGCGCGAGAAAUGGAGGUAGAAGAUUUUUUUAUCAAUUUUCUAUUCAAAGAAAGAAGAUGAAGGAAAAGACAGGAUAGAGAAAUGUACUGAAGGAGUAAAAAAUUGUGAUUUUUCAAAGAAAUGAAAACGAGGACAAAAGGAUAGAUGCAUUUUAUUUAAAAAAAAUUGGUCGGUUAAGUGAAAUUUGAACGAAUAAUUGGAUUGGUGGCAAGAAGGAAGUGAAGGAACUAUUGAAUGAAGAUGCGCGAGGCGCGCAAGGAUGGACGUGAUGAAAACAAUCGUGGAAAUAGUUCAUUUCAAUCUGGAGAAUCGAUAAAUGGGUCACCGCAGGUCGUCGGGCAAUAUCUCAUGUAUCCACGACUCGAGUAUCAACUGGGUCAUUCGACUGUAGCGAGAAUGGACGACAAAAGUGACAAACUAUCCCCGAAGAAACCAUUAUUCUAUAUCGCCUCUUCCAAGACCUGGCACAACAAUCUUCAGCUAUCAAAUGUUAUUUACCCGACACCUACGCCAAGAGGAAAACAAUUGACAAACGAGCCAACCUAAUUGAACUAUCCUCCAUUAACAACACAGCAUGUAUCUCAAUCCACCCACCAUUCCCGGAGAAAAUGUCGCGGAAGUCGCAAGACGCCGCCUGUAUUUACACUAUACUCAUCACUAUCCAUUAUCCACGAUAAUUGAAUCACUUCCGAUUAAAACUUGCCAAUUAUCUUAUAUAAAUUCAAUUGUACAUUCCUCCAAGAAAUUCUCUUCAUUCAAAAAUAACCAAAGGUUGAACAAAAAGAGAAGAAAGAUUUAGUGGAUUGAAUUCAAACUUAAGUCUAUAAGAUGAGGAGGAUAAUCAAACCACUCCCAAUUAUCAAAAUUCAAUUAUUCCAAGAAAUUCCAAUCACCAUCGAAAUAACUUAAACCAAAUGUCGAGAAAAGAAAAACAAAAAGAAAGAUUUACUCUGCGUUCGACAAAUUUUUCAAAGAAAUCUUCAAUUCUCGCGAAGAAUAAUUGAACCACUCCCGAUCAAAUCAAUUAUUCCUUUCAAAAAGCCACCAUCAAGAUAAGAAAUGAAAGAAAAAGAAAAGAAAAAAAGGAAACAAAGAUGCGGAAACACUUACUUUGAUUAUUGCGUUCGACGAGAGCUUCCGUUGAAGAAACGUCGAUUCGCGAGGAGGAUAGAACCGGGAUGACAGGUGAGAAGGCUCGUUCUCACGACGAACGGUACAUCGGUGUGAUAUAACGAUGGAACAAGAGGUUGUAAGCAAGCACUGUUCGUUUAUAUCCCGAUUGAACGAGGAGAUCGCUUCGACGGGGUGGUGGUCCCGCGAAUACUGAGCUUCUGGAGCCUAGAGCAUCCUGGUCGAUAAGCCAUCCCCCUCUGGCCACCCACUCGCGCUAAAGGUACGAUCACACCUGCGCUGGCCACCUCACGUGGAUUCGCGUGCAUUCACACUAAACCUCGAACGCACCUUUAACCUUUCGCUUCGAUUCAUUGAUAUACGUAUAUUUCAAGUGUAGUGCUUCUUAAUUUUGCUAUAUGCAACUCUCUUCUUAUUUUCUUUUUUGAUAAAUCUGUAUAUAAUGAAUCGGAGUUGGGAAGUUUUAGAUUCGACAGAUUUGAAUGGAAAAUUUUAAGGGUUUAAAUUCAGAGUGUAUUGUUUUGUGAAGAAUCAAAGAUUUGAAAUCAUUUAAUUGCAAAUAAUUAAAAAUACAAGUUAUAAGAUACAUAAAUUUUAUUAAAAAUUUUCAUGUAAAAAUGAGUGUUUCAAAAACUAUCUUGUGACUUGUUAGAAAUACAUAAUAGAUAUUUGCAUUUGUAUGCACUUUGUGCUUCUAAUUCGCAUCACAUGUAUAUGUGAAAUUCUAUCAAUUAAAAUAAGUUAACGCAAAUGUUAAACACAAUUGUAAGAUACAUAAAUUUUAGUAAAAAUUUUCAUGAAAAUGAUUAUAAUUAGGAAAAUUAUCUUGCGAAGCUGAACGAUACACAGAUUGAGAAUAUACAAUAGAUAUAUAUAUAUAUGUAUAUACAUAUGUUUACUACAUGCGUGCGUGUACAGUUUGAAACAAAAUUUUAACCUUUUAGAUUACUUCGUUCCACGAGGCUAUUCUUUCUAUUUGCCGUGCAAUUUGCUCACGUCUAUUUGAACUUCGAUUUCCUCUGUCGUCGUUUCUCGUUUGUUUGCCUCCCUCUAUUUGUUAUUUAUCAUGCGCCGACUAUUGAACCUAGAUGUGAUGCUCGUUAUUACCUGCGUUCCGUCGAGAUCCACGAUGCAACAAGUAUGCAUAUGUUUGUAUAAUUCAAGUCUGUUAGGCUUCAGAUGCUCGGCUAUAGCUCGUGAUAUUUAGAAAUACAAUACGCUAUUUAUAUAUUCGCAUUGAGCAAAAUAUUUCUCUGAAAUGUAGAAGAUUUUUUUUUCUUUUCUGAAAUGUAAUUUUAAAGUUAGUUUAAACUUUGAGUACACUUACUUAAUCGUAUGCAAAUUUUUCUUUAUAUUUUUUAUCCUUAUUUGGCAAGCUUUUUUUGCAAAUGUAUAAUAGUGAAUUAAAAUCCAUUUCAUGGAUCUCUAUGAUUUUCUCGUUGAAAUGUAAUUUUUACAGUUUAAAUUUUAAAUACACUUAUUAAUUGUAUGUAAAUUUUUCUUUAUAUUUUUUUAUUUAAUAUGCAAAUAAGCUUAUAUUGCAUAUUGAUGUUGUUAAACGUUAUUUUUCUGUGUUUUAAUCUGUUUCUUUUUUCAAUAAGUGUACAUGACAAUUUGUUAUUGUUUUCACGCAUGCAUAAUGGAAGAUAAAUAUUAGAGAAUUCACCUAGAACUAAUAAUAAAUAUUGGCACGCCUACUAAUUUUGCAUUUUGAUUAACACGUUCUUUCAAAUUUUGAGCUUAAAUAGGCAUGAAGAUAAUUAAAAGAUUAAAGUUUAACAGAUAUUAAUAUAGCUUCUCUAAUACGUGUAAAAUUAUUAUCUGCAUCAAUAUUUAAUUGUCUUAGAACGUUCAUCGAUUUUGGUAAAUGAUUAAAAUUCGUGAAUCGAAUCAAAAAUCAUUUUAAACAAAUAAGCGAUUAAUCGUUGUAUUAAAAUGAUGUAACGAAACAAUAAAUAAUACAAUUGAAAAUAUAGCAGAUAAUAAUAGAGAAAAUAAAUUAUACGAUAAAUUAUACGAUUAUUCGAAUACUUCGAUUUGUCUUGUAAUAUUAUCAUCUUGUUAUUACAAAUCGUAAUUUAUUCACCGUGCAAUUACUUUUUCUUUUGUUUAACAUACCUUUAACCUUUAGUCUCACCCACUGACAUUUUUACAAUGCAAGGCGAACCAUUUGAUGUUUCCAAGCAAUGCGUGCUCUUCUUUUUUUUUUUUUUCAUUCAAACAUCAUUUCAAAACUAUGAGAAGAAUCGUUGAUAUCUGUCUGAUAAAUUAUGUUUUACUCCACUUUACUCCGCUCCGUAAUUUCUUUAACCAACUUCGAAUUAUUAAAGUUUGAAAAAGACGAUUUAAAAAAAGGAAAACGCUUUAACUGUUUCGUAUACGUUAUAAUUUUGGAUAAAAGAAAAAUCAUUUUGAUUACAUACCUUCACAGAUGUUAUAUUUAAAAUCGAUUGCAUCUACUUCAUUACUUGCAAUAUGGUAUUUUGCAAUUGCAAAACAAAUAAUAUUGUACAAAGUUUCAGAAACAUCGGUCUGCGUGUGCGUACACCCACACGAUAUUUUUAUUAGUUCUUUUUCAUUGCUAAAUAUUGAAAUUUAUUUAAACAUGUUAAUUAUAACUAUCGUAAUGAAAAUGCUCGAGAUUUCUUAUCCUUUGAAUUUCCUUGAAAUCGACGAUCACUUGAUAAAUCAUACGAAAUCAUGAUCAAUAUCAUUCGAAUAAUCGAUAAGUUUGUAUUUAAACAUGUAAAUGCUAAGAAAGCAUUAUUCAGAAAAUGUCUCAAGACUUCUGAUUAAAGAUAUACAUGUCGCAAUUUCUACAUUUCAUUUUAUCACAAAUGACAAAAGUGUGAUUACUAAUAAGAAGAAAAAAUUUGAUCGAGUAACUUCUAUGCAAUGAUCACAAAUGGAAAGUUGACCGGUUUCCAUGAACAUCGAAUGUAAGACGCAGAUUUCACAUUGUCCGUACUGUUCAGAGAGAUUAUUUUUAGAGCGUUUCAACGUAGUAUAGGUGUUGCGCUAUCGAUAAAAUAUCGAUGAGACCUUCUCCACAAGGUUGCCGGUCUCCAUUCGAGCUUAACGCGAUGCAAUAAUUAAUUUCGUAAUUAACCUUGCAUUAAGUAACCAAUAAUAACGUUCUAAUCUAAUGAAGAUUCAGUUAAUCGAUCUCAACGCUGGUCCUCGGAUUACAAAACGUACGAAAAUCUUGAAUUUUUGGAAAAAUUUUGGAGUGAUUCCUUUUAAUCGAUUGAUUUUUAUUUUUAUUUUUCGUUUUUCGCCAUCGUUGAAUCAUUGGUAAUGAGUGGUUCGUUAGGUUAGUUUGACGGCAGAGGGAGUAUAUAAGUAUAUCGAAUGCGUCUUAAGAACAUAUCGAUAUAUCUUUUCACCAAGUACAUGCUUUGUAAUCGAACAACUUCGGACAGCUUUCAAGAACCUUCGUUUAACAUCUAUUUUUAAGCAUCGAAGUUUAACUGGUUGCGAUGUAACGAGCAAAAUAUAUAUUUUUCUACGUUAAAUGUCCUCGUUAAAUGGACGAUCGAAUUUUUAUCGAAAGAUAAUUCAUCGAUAUUUAACUAAUGAUAUUUGAUAAACGAUUUGUCUCGAUUCGAAUAUUAAUUAAAUCGAGGAGUGGAAUAUUUUUGUUCGAUUAAUGCAUUUUUUAACACAAAUAAUAAUUUUAUAAGCAGUUUAUUUAUUUUUGUGAUUUUUUAAAAGUUUUUUUAAUGGAUCUGCUGUUUUUUCUCAACUGCAAAUGUUUCUUCGAAAAAUUAACUUUGUUGUGUUUAUUUACGUUGAAAAUUAGAAGAAUGUUUGGAAUUGAAUGCGUUGUAAUAUUCAUGGAAAGUGCGUUGAUACGAAGAAACUACCUAAUUAGCCUUGAAUCGAUAAAGUGGUGGAAUAUUCUCCAUUCUCGGAAAUUAAUCGUUGAUUCGUGUCAAAAUGAAGAAUUGUUCCUUGGAAAUACGGAUAACCAAAUACUUAACAACAGUGUGACGUCGUCGCUCUUCUGGGAAUGAUAAGAUAAUUCUUGCAUUUUGAUUAAUAUUUCACUUUAGAAAUCACAUCAUUCAAACUUAGAAUUUGACGCUAACUUUUUCAGAAGGAUAUUUUUUUUCAACGAAUAAAACGAUAUGUAUUUAUUUGUGCAAAGUAAAAUUUUAAUUAUUGAACAAUUAUUAAACAAAUUUUUCAUAUAUUCUUUCUUCUGCUACAAUCUAUGCUUUCUUAAUACUAUGAAAUAAUUUAAUAGUUUUUGAUAAUUUCAAUUUUUAAAGAUAAUAUUAACCAAUGUACUUUUCCUUUCGAAGAUUUUGCCAUUUAAAAAAUUUUGUAACUAAGAAAAUAACAAAUGAUUCUAGAAUCAGAAGAAUUUGAUGGAAAAUAUUAUAGAGUAUUAAUUUAAUUUCUUAACGUUGCUUUUACUGUGCAUAAUCGAAAAUAUUAGUCAUUUGUUUAUUGAGCUUGCGCGUCAUCCAGUUAAUAAGUAAGUUGCAGCUGUGCAAAUUUGAUUUAAUUUUAAAAAUUUCUAGAAAAUUUUAUUAUCCUAAUUUGCAUGGUGUAUUGAUAGAGACUCCGUUUCCAUCCACUGACGUAAACGUAAAAUGAAAUGCGUUGGUGGACAAUUGUGAACGCUUGCUUGAGUAUACUCGUGAAACCAGCACAAACAAGAAUCAAGAUUCUCUUAAAUAGCCCAAGUAUCUUAUUCCUUAAUUAUUAUUCCAAAAGAGUUAGUUAUUUUUCCAAAACAACAAUGUAGGUUCAAAACAAAUUGUUUGCUUUUCUUCUUUUUUUUUUUCAAGGAAAAAUAAUAUUUCGUUUUAUAGAUGAAUUUCAAAAUAAUAAUUUUAA